rnacentral:rRNA from 1 species
CAGUAGUCAUAUGCUUGUCUCAAAGAUUAAGCCAUGCAUGUCUAAGCACAAACUUUUACACAGUGAAGCUGCGAAUGGCUCAUUAGGUCACCCAUGAUUUCUUAGAUCGUACAAUCCUACUUGGAUAACUGUGGUAAUUCUAGAGCUAAUACAUGCAACAAAGCUCCGACCCGUCGUGGGGAAGAGCGCGUUUAUUAGAUCAAAACCAAUCGGGUUCUCAGCAAUGGGGAUCCGCUCGUUUGGUGACUCUGGAUAACUUCGAGCUGAUCGCACGGCCUCGCGCCGGCGACGUAUCUUUCAAGUGUGUGCCCUAUCAACUUUCGAUGGUACGUGAUAUGCCUACCAUGGUUGUAACGGGUAACGGGGAAUCAGGGUUCGAUUCCG